rnacentral:rRNA from 1 species
AGUUUGAUCCUGGCUCAAGACGAACGCUGGCGGCGUGCUUAACACAUGCAAGUCGAACGGACCGAGUUGAUAGCUUGCUAUUGGUGAGGUUAGUGGCAAACGGGUGAGUAACGCGUAGGCAACCUGCCCUUCAGGUGGGGACAACACCUCGAAAGGGGUGCUAAUUCCGAAUGACGUUUCCUGGUCGCAUGACCUGGAAACCAAAGGCCGGGCAACCGGUCACUGAAGGAUGGGCCUGCGUCUGAUUAGCUAAUUGGUGGGGUAACGGCCCACCAAGGCGACGAUCAGUAGCCGGUCUGACAGGAUGAACGGCCACAUUGGGACUGAGACACGGCCCAAACUCCUACGGGAGGCAGCAGUGGGGAAUCUUCCGCAAUGGGCGCAAGCCUGACGGAGCAACGCCGCGUGAGUGAAGAAGGUUUUCGGAUCGUAAAGCUCUGUUGAGAGGGACGAGAGAUAUAAUCACGAAAUGGGUUAUACAGGACGGUACCUUUCGAGGAAGCCACGGCUAACUACGUGCCACCAGCCGCGGUAAUACGUAGGUGGCGAGCGUUGUCCGGAAUUAUUGGGCGUAAAGGGAGCGCAGGUGGGAAAGUAAGUCAGUCUUAAAAGUUCUGUGCUCAACCCCGUGAUGGGAUUGAAACUACUUUUCUUGAGUGCAGGAGAGGAAAGCGGAAUUCCUACUGUAGCGGUGAAAUGCGUAUAUAUUAGGAGGAACACCAGUGGCGAAGGCGGCUUUCUGGACUGUAACUGACACUGAGGCUCGAAAGCGUGGGGAGCGAACUGGAUUAGAUACCGUGGUAGUCCACGCCGUAAACGAUGAAUGCUAGGUGUAGGAGGUAUCGACCCCUUCUGUGCCGGAGUUAACGCAAUAAGCAUUCCGCCUGGGGAGUACGGCCGCAAGGCUGAAACUCAAAGGAAUUGACGGGGGCCCGCACAAGCGGUGGAGUAUGUGGUUUAAUUCGACGCAACGCGAAGAACCUUACCAGGGCUUGACAUUGAUUGAAACUCCCAGAGAUGGGAGCCUCCCUUCGGGGACAAGAAAACAGGUGGUGCAUGGCUGUCGUCAGCUCGUGUCGUGAGAUGCUUGGGUUAAGUCCCGCAACGAGCGCAACCCCUGUCCUGUGUUGCCAGCAUGUAAAGAUGGGAACUCACAGGAGACUGCCGCGGAGAACGCGGAGGAAGGCGGGGAUGACGUCAAGUCAUCAUGCCCUUUAUGACCUGGGAUACACACGUACUACAAUGGGAUGUACAGAGGGCAGCGAAGCCGCGAGGCGGAGCGAAUCCCAUAAAACAUCUCCCAGUUCGGAUUGCAGGCUGAGACCCGCCUGCAUGAAGUCGGAAUCGCUAGUAAUCGCAGGUCAGCAUACUGCGGUGAGUACAUUCUCCGGGGGGUGUACACACCGCCCGUCA